rnacentral:rRNA from 1 species
GACGAACGCUGGCGGCGUGCUUAACACAUGCAAGUCGAACGGAAAGGCCCUGCUUUUGCGGGGUGCUCGAGUGGCGAACGGGUGAGUAACACGUGAGUAACCUGCCCUUGACUUUGGGAUAACUUCAGGAAACUGGGGCUAAUACCGGAUAGGAGCUCCUGCUGCAUGGUGGGGGUUGGAAAGUUUCGGCGGUUGGGGAUGGACUCGCGGCUUAUCAGCUUGUUGGUGGGGUAGUGGCUUACCAAGGCUUUGACGGGUAGCCGGCCUGAGAGGGUGACCGGCCACAUUGGGACUGAGAUACGGCCCAGAGUCCUACGGUAGGCAGCAGUGGGGAAUAUUGCACAAUGGGCGGAAGCCUGAUGCAGAAACGCCGCGUGCGGGAUGACGGCUUUCGGGGUGUAAACCGCUUUCGCCUGUGACGAAGCGUGAGUGACGGUAAUGGGUAAAGAAGCACCGGCUAACUACGUG